rnacentral:rRNA from 1 species
AGCUCCAAUAGCGUAUAUUAAAGUUGUUGCAGUUAAAAAGCUCGUAGUUGAACUUGAUGCAAGCUUGGUCUGGGCAUUUGUCUGGACUGGGUGAGCUCUUUUCGGGGGAUGCGUCACUUGUGGCGAGGAACCCACGUUACUGUGAAGAAAUUAGAGUGUUUAAAGCAGGCGAUCGCUUGAAUACAUUAGCAUGGAAUAACAAGAUAGGACUUGGUUCUACUUGUUGGUUUGGGGGCCAGAGUAAUGAUUAAUAGGGCCAGUCGGGGGCAUUAGUAUUCAGCAGUCAGAGGUGAAAUUCUUGGAUUUGCUGAAGACUAACUAGUGCGAAAGCAUUUGCCAAGGAUGUUUUCA